rnacentral:rRNA from 1 species
UAAACUGGGAUUAGAUACCCCACUAUGCCCAGCCCUAAACUUAGAUAGCAAAAUACCACCUAUCCGCCAGAGAACUACAAGCAAAAUACUUAAAACUCAAAGGACUUGGCGGCAUUCCAUAUCAACCUAGAGGAGCCCGUCCAAUAAUCGAUAAUACGCGCUCAACCCAACCAUUUUUGGCCACUCCAGCCUAUAUACCGCCGUCGUCAGCUAACCUUAUGAAAGAAAAGAAGUAAGCACAAUAGCCCUCGCUAAAACGUCAGGUCAAGGUGUAGCUAAUAAAAUGGAUGUGAUAGGCUACAUUUUCUAUUAUAGAAAAUAACGGAAAAUACAAUGAAACCUUGUAAUAGAAGGUGAAUUUAGAAGUAAAUUAAGAAAGUAUCC